UGAUUUAGUCCCAGGCCAAUCACAGCUCGACAAUUGGCAGCCAGGUGGCUGGACCGGUGUUCCCUAUCAUGAUCUGAGCUCAGCAAACAACUCAACCGGUCCCAUGUUCGAUCGUUAUAGUAGCGGCCCGGGUGGUUUGUUCACACAGAACAAGAUGAGGAGGUGUAACCCUGUGGCUUUCGGCAUGACACCGGUUGUCAAGGUCUAGAAUGUUUGUCUGAAUGCCUGCGCUCCACAGCCAACCCACUGCACCAGAUGCUGAUGGUCGUUGAGUUUGGAUCUUCACCGUUCGAUGUUGGCAUGGGACAUGAGGAGAGCGACGACGAGUUGUCAUUAGUCUUCUAUGAAGCUGUGCAGCAGUGCGGAGACAAGAAGGAACUC